UUUAAUGAGAGUUUGAUCCUGGCUCAGGACGAACGCUGGCGGCGUGCCUAAUACAUGCAAGUAGAACGCUGAGGUUUGGUGUUUACACUAGACUGAUGAGUUGCGAACGGGUGAGUAACGCGUAGGUAACCUGCCUCAUAGCGGGGGAUAACUAUUGGAAACGAUAGCUAAUACCGCAUAAGAGUAAUUAACACAUGUUAGUUAUUUAAAAGGAGCAAUUGCUUCACUGUGAGAUGGACCUGCGUU
rnacentral:rRNA from 1 species